GAGGUUGGUAGUGGGGAAUGUCAGACAGGAGUUGCGAAGUUGUUGGCUAGAUGAAUUUGGUUGCUAAGCUAGGAUAUGGUAUAAUGUGGUUUUGUGAUUAGGACUUCGUAGAUGUGGAUUGCAACAUUGCAGAGGUGAUGAUUCUAAGUUUUAAAUCAUGUGAGUCCCUGCUGUUUUCAAAUCUCUUUCAGAGAGAUUGCCCGUCUGUUUUGCUUGAGGACAAGCAAAAGGGUAAGUCUGGGAGAGUUGAUAGACCAUGGAUUUUACCCACUUUUAGCCAUGGUCUAU
rnacentral:lncRNA from 1 species